CGGUGGGCAGGGCUGGGGGGCUAGCCCUCCCCCUCUGACGGACCCGAAACGGGCUGUACGCGGGGGCCAGCAACCGUGCGGAAAGGCUGCCUCGAGGGAAAGGAGGAGGGUCGGAGAGGGAUGAACGCGCGUCCUAGCGGAGCCGGGCAGGGUUUCACGCCCUUCGUAGGGAGGGCCUCUGAGACCCGCACGCGCCGAAACGUGUCAGGCCCGGGAGGGAGCAGCACUAAGGCGCGGCUCGUCUGCUGCUGGGAAGACGUGCGCGACUGAACCUCCCUCACUCCGUACCUGAGGGGUAGCCGAUCCGUCCGGAUCCACCG
rnacentral:SRP_RNA from 1 species